rnacentral:rRNA from 1 species
UACGUAGGGGGCAAGCGUUGUCCGGAAUCCUUGGGCGUAAAGCGCGUGUAGGCGGUUCGGUAAGUCUGCUGUGAAAGUCCAGGGCUCAACCCUGGGAUGCCGGUGGAUACUGUCGGACUAGAGUACGGAAGAGGCGAGUGGAAUUCCCGGUGUAGCGGUGAAAUGCGCAGAUAUCAGGAAGAACACCCGUGGCGAAGGCGGCUCUCUGGGACGGUACUGACGCUGAGACGCGAAAGCGUGGGGAGCGAACAGG